AGGAACUUGGUUUUCUAAAAUGGAAAGGAAGUUUGGGGGAAGAGUUUGGCACCCUUGACGGUUCCAGCAAGUGAAGAAUCAGCCCAUCUGCAGCUGGUGUUGAAACUAACUAGAAGAAAAAAUAAGAAGUUUUAUCUCCUGAAGAAUUGGGGAGACUCUUUUAAAGGUGAAACUUUUCAUCUUUAGGUAUUCGGGACCCACGAGCAGUUUCUUCCAUUGUGUCCAACUGUAAAUCAAGACGACUUGCUUUGAGCUCCAAGAAGGAAGUUAUGUAUUAUACCUUUAGGAUAUGCACAUAUUCUUUUCCUUUUCCCUGUGGUAUUCAGAAAGUGGAUACCCUAAAUAGUUGCACCCUAAAUAGACUUGGUUUGUACAUGUUUCUGAUGGUUUCUUUAUUUGUAGUGAAUCUAGUUUAUUGUUUUCACAUCUGUUUUUAGCAACUCAGUUUCAGUAGUUCUUUGUAUUGUUAGCUAGCUAGCUAUUUUUGCAGCUGACUUAAUUCAAAGCAAACAUUUUUUUAAUGUAACCCUACUUUCUUGUUCAGUUUUCCAGUUCAUUAAAAUUUUCUCAAUUUGAUGAAUCUUCCAUGUAUGUAUCCUUGAAACUUUGAAAGAGAAAAAGGUAUGUGGUAUGUGACUUCCAGGUGCUUGAUUUAGAGGUGCUUCAAAUGAAAGCACUUUAAUCAUGUCAAUAAUUGCAAGUGAACCAUAUUUUAAGAUAAGACAAUUAAAAAUUUGGGAAUAUUUGAUGGUAUACAGGAACUAUUAAAUUUUCAGAUGGGGUAAGAGCAAGUAUAAUUUUAGAUACAUGCUGAAAUAUAUCUAUAAUAAUAAAAGGGUAAUAUGCUAAUUAGACCAGACGUCCUUCUGGACGUCCUUCCACAUGAAGCCAGGGCCAGAGCGAAGCCCAGGUCCCAGGUGCCGGCCAGCAGCCAGAGGGAAGCAGCCGGGUCCUGGGUGCCUGCCGGCAGCUGGAGAGAAGCCCAAGUCCCAAGUGCCUGCCAGCAGCCAGAGGGAAGCAGCCGGGUCCUGGGUGCCUGCCGGCAGCUGGAGAGAAGCCCAAGUCCCAAGUGCCAGAGGGAAGCCGAUGCCGGCAGCCAGGGGAAGGAAGGCCUACUC